rnacentral:misc_RNA from 1 species
GAUGAAGAACGUAGCGAAAUGCGAUAAGUAAUGUGAAUUGCAGAAUUCAGUGAAUCAUCGAAUCUUUGAACGCAUCUUGCGCUCCUUGGUAUUCCGAGGAGCAUGUCUGUUUGAGUGUCAUUUAACUUCUCAACCACAUUGGAUAUUUUUUUUCCGAUGCCGGCUUGGAUGUGGGGGUUGUUUGCAGGCUUUUUGUAACAAAAAAGGUCGGCUCCCCUGAAAUGUAUUAGUGGUAUCUGAGGCUAUUACUAUUAGGUGUGAUAAUUAUCUAUGCCUUUUGGGUAUGCCGCAUGAACAGAUUAUGCUGCUUCUAACGAAAACUAUUUUGAUGAAUUUGACCUCAAAUCAGGUAGGACUACCCGCUGAACUUAAGCAUAUCAAUAAGCGGAGGA